rnacentral:rRNA from 1 species
UACGUAGGGUGCAAGCGUUGUCCGGAAUUAUUGGGCGUAAAGAGCUCGUAGGCGGUUUGUCGCGUCUGCUGUGAAAACUCGGGGCUUAACUCCGGGCCUGCAGUGGGUACGGGCAGACUAGAGUGCGGUAGGGGAGAGUGGAAUUCCUGGUGUAGCGGUGAAAUGCGCAGAUAUCAGGAGGAACACCGGUGGCGAAGGCGGGUCUCUGGGCCGUAACUGACGCUGAGGAGCGAAAGCGUGGGGAGCGAACAGG